rnacentral:rRNA from 1 species
GGGCGUUAAGUUGCAGGGUAUAGACCCGAAACCCGGUGAUCUAGCCAUGGGCAGGUUGAAGGUUGGGUAACACUAACUGGAGGACCGAACCGACUAAUGUUGAAAAAUUAGCGGAUGACCUGUGGCUGGGGGUGAAAGGCCAAUCAAACCGGGAGAUAGCUGGUUCUCCCCGAAAGCUAUUUAGGUAGCGCCUCGUGAAUUCAUCUCCGGGGGUAGAGCACUGUUUCGGCUAGGGGGCCAUCCCGGCUUACCAACCCGAUGCAAACUGCGAAUACCGGAGAAUGUUAUCACGGGAGACACACGGCGGGUGCUAACGUCCGUCGUGAAGAGGGAAACAACCCAGACCGCCAGCUAAGGUCCCAAAGUCAUGGUUAAGUGGGAAACGAUGUGGGAAGGCCCAGACAGCCAGGAUGUUGGCUUAGAAGCAGCCAUCAUUUAAAGAAAGCGUAAUAGCUCACUGGUCGAGUCGGCCUGCGCGGAAGAUGUAACGGGGCUAAACCAUGCACCGAAGCUGCGGCAGCGACACUCAGGUGUUGUUGGGUAGGGGAGCGUUCUGUAAGCCUGCGAAGGUGGCCUGUGAGGGUUGCUGGAGGUAUCAGAAGUGCGAAUGCUGACAUAAGUAACGAUAAAGCGGGUGAAAAGCCCGCUCGCCGGAAGACCAAGGGUUCCUGUCCAACGUUAAUCGGGGCAGGGUGAGUCGACCCCUAAGGCGAGGCCGAAAGGCGUAGUCGAUGGGAAACGGGUUAAUAUUCCCGUACUUGGUGUUACUGCGAAGGGGGGACGGAGAAGGCUAUGUUGGCCGGGCGACGGUUGUCCCGGUUUAAGCGUGUAGGUGUGUGUUCCAGGUAAAUCCGGUUCACUUUAACACUGAGGCGUGAUGACGAGGCACUACGGUGCUGAAGCAACAAAUGCCCUGCUUCCAGGAAAAGCCUCUAAGCAUCAGGUAACAUCAAAUCGUACCCCAAACCGACACAGGUGGUCAGGUAGAGAAUACCAAGGCGCUUGAGAGAACUCGGGUGAAGGAACUAGGCAAAAUGGUGCCGUAACUUCGGGAGAAGGCACGCUGACACGUAGGUGAAGUGAUUUACUCAUGGAGCUGAAGUCAGUCGAAGAUACCAGCUGGCUGCAACUGUUUAUUAAAAACACAGCACUGUGCAAACACGAAAGUGGACGUAUACGGUGUGACGCCUGCCCGGUGCCGGAAGGUUAAUUGAUGGGGUCAGCGCAAGCGAAGCUCCUGAUCGAAGCCCCGGUAAACGGCGGCCGUAACUAUAACGGUCCUAAGGUAGCGAAAUUCCUUGUCGGGUAAGUUCCGACCUGCACGAAUGGCGUAAUGAUGGCCAGGCUGUCUCCACCCGAGACUCAGUGAAAUUGAACUCGCUGUGAAGAUGCAGUGUACCCGCGGCAAGACGGAAAGACCCCGUGAACCUUUACUAUAGCUUGACACUGAACAUUGAGCCUUGAUGUGUAGGAUAGGUGGGAGGCUUUGAAGUGUGGACGCCAGUCUGCAUGGAGCCGACCUUGAAAUACCACCCUUUAAUGUUUGAUGUUCUAACGUGGACCCGUAAUCCGGGUUGCGGACAGUGUCUGGUGGGUAGUUUGACUGGGGCGGUCUCCUCCUAAAGAGUAACGGAGGAGCACGAAGGUUGGCUAAUCCUGGUCGGACAUCAGGAGGUUAGUGCAAUGGCAUAAGCCAGCUUGACUGCGAGCGUGACGGCGCGAGCAGGUGCGAAAGCAGGUCAUAGUGAUCCGGUGGUUCUGAAUGGAAGGGCCAUCGCUCAACGGAUAAAAGGUACUCCGGGGAUAACAGGCUGAUACCGCCCAAGAGUUCAUAUCGACGGCGGUGUUUGGCACCUCGAUGUCGGCUCAUCACAUCCUGGGGCUGAAGUAGGUCCCAAGGGUAUGGCUGUUCGCCAUUUAAAGUGGUACGCGAGCUGGGUUUAGAACGUCGUGAGACAGUUCGGUCCCUAUCUGCCGUGGGCGCUGGAGAACUGAGGGGGGCUGCUCCUAGUACGAGAGGACCGGAGUGGACGCAUCACUGGUGUUCGGGUUGUCAUGCCAAUGGCACUGCCCGGUAGCUAAAUGCGGAAGAGAUAAGUGCUGAAAGCAUCUAAGCACGAAACUUGCCCCGAGAUGAGUUCUCCCUGAGACUUAAAGUCUCCUGAAGGAACGUUGAAGACGACGACGUUGAUAGGCCGGGUGUGUAAGCGCAGCGAUGCGUUGAGCUAACCGGUACUAAUGAACCGUGAGGCUUAACCUU